rnacentral:rRNA from 1 species
GGCGGCAGGCCUAAUACAUGCAAGUCGAGCGCGCCCUUCGGGGUGAGCGGCGGACGGGUGAGUAACGCGUGGGAAUAUGCCCUUCUCUAAGGAAUAGCCUCUGGAAACGGAGAGUAAUACCUUAUACGCCCUUUGGGGGAAAGAUUUAUCGGAGAGGGAUUAGCCCGCGUUAGAUUAGGUAGUUGGUGGGGUAAUGGCCUACCAAGCCUACGAUCUAUAGCUGGUUUGAGAGGAUGAUCAGCCACACUGGGACUGAGACACGGCCCAGACUCCUACGGGAGGCAGCAGUAGGGAAUCUUAGACAAUGGGGGCAACCCUGAUCUAGCCAUGCCGCGUGUGUGAUGAAGGCCCUAGGGUCGUAAAGCACUUUCGCCAGAGAUGAUAAUGACAGUAUCUGGUAAAGAAACCCCGGCUAACUCCGUGCCAGCAGCCGCGGUAAUACGGAGGGGGUUAGCGUUGUUCGGAAUUACUGGGCGUAAAGCGCACGUAGGCGGAUUAGUAAGUUAGAGGUGAAAUCCCAGGGCUCAACCCUGGAACUGCCUUUAAUACUGCUAGUCUUGAGUUCGAGAGAGGUAAGUGGAAUUCCGAGUGUAGAGGUGAAAUUCGUAGAUAUUCGGAGGAACACCAGUGGCGAAGGCGGCUUACUGGCUCGAUACUGACGCUGAGGUGCGAAAGUGUGGGGAGCCAACAGGAUUAGAUACCCUGGUAGUCCACACCGUAAACGAUGAAUGCCAGACGUCAGCAAGUAUAC